rnacentral:lncRNA from 1 species
GUUGCCAUAAAACGUUAAAGAUAUAUGAUACCGCAUUUUUAAACAUGGUUUUUCAAUCAAAAUUAAUCGGAGAAAAAAAAUUUAUGUGUCAAUUGAACCCAUUCACCGCAUUCCGGCUUCGCGGUUAAUUUUGAGUGAAAAUGGCUCCAAUUUUCUUGAGUUUUUCUGUAUAAGAGGAGUAAGGUGUUUGAGUAGUUGGUCUCAAUUCCUAUGAGUUCUCUGUAUAAAUAGUUGUAUUAUUUAUAUAAGCUGGUGAAGAACAAACUCAUCUCAUGUGCUUGGUUGGUGAAAUUCCAGUUCUUUCCACAUUUCAAUUGUGCCUUAGUCACAAAUCAAACCUCCUUGCUUGUUGAGACUUCAUGUGCUUUGUUAAUGCCUUGGCAGUUUCAUGAGCACCCCUCACAAUCCAUGUGACAGGUUUCACUUCACCAACCCACCCUGCAGGGCAAAUAGCAUGCAUCUGCAAUUACAUGGAUGAAAAAAAAAAAAUCAUUAAAAAGAGAAAAGCUUAGAAUAUCUCAAUUCUUCUGUUCUAUGUCACCAUUUAACUCUGGUAGUGAGAAAGUUCCUCAACAGAGAGGUCACUGCAUACAUGAAAAUGGAACUCAAAAAAAAUUUAUUUGGUACUGACGAAACUGUCAUACAAAUAAAUCAAUAAAAUGGCCUUUUCAACUUGGUUAGCAAAAUGUUUGAAUUGUAUAGCGUAAUUAUCAUAAUUUCUAUACUUAACAAUAAAAUGGCAUAAAAUAUCAGUUGAAGCUUAUAAAUAUGCAGACAGAGAGAGACAUAAUUACCUUCUGAUUCAAUGACACUCGUGGGCAUGAGGAGAUUGGUUUUCUCCGGGAUUUCUUGGAUUUUGGCAUUUCUGCUUUUUGUUUCACCAUCUGCAGUUAAAACCCAAAUUCCUGGCUGCUCCUUGGUGGGUCUAGACCUUGAGCAUUGCUUGAAACCAAGCAGUGGCUUUAUUUCCAUGGAUGAUACUUGCUGCACAGCCCUUAAUCAACUCGUCCAAGCCGGGUAUGGAUGCUUGUGCUCUCUGAUAGCAACAUCCUCAUCUCUGCCUCUUUUAGGCACCCCCCUUUCAUUGCCAUUAUCAAAUUGCUACAUAUCUGCACCUCCUUUAACUCAGUGUCAAGGUAUAUAUAUAAUUAUGCUGGAUUCAAUUAAGCACCCUUAGAUGCAUAAAUAAAAUUUACAUCCUUUCUUCCCCUCUUAUUUUGUACAGUGGUAGCUCCAAAGGCUGAAGGGUUUCCACCAAAUGGCCCUCAUGAGGAGAUUGCACAACCUUCUGGUCCAACUGAUCACCGAGUCGUGCCGGUGGCUCCGGUUGAAGUGCUGCAGGCUCCAUUAAACUCAACCAGCAAUGGAAAUGCUACAGUGGUAGAAUCAAAGCAGCCACCAGUGACCAAAAGCAGUGAUGAUAUAUCAAACAGAGAGGAAAAGACCAAGCUGCAUCCACUGCCAAUGCUUUUGCUUUCCUUGGCUCUUCAAGCUUGUAAAGCAUUGUAUUAGUUUUAAUUCUCUAUUUAUCUGUGCAAUAAAACAUCAACUGAUAAAGUAAUUUUAUAUCUUAUAAAUAAUGAUUGAUUUAAAACUUCUAAAACUGUUUAGUGUUGAGGCCUCUUCUUG